UCUUUCUCUGCACUUUUCUCUCUCUCUCUCUCUCUCUCUCUCCUCAACAAUAAUCUACAACCUUUCUCUCUCUAAUCUCCGAGAAGGAACCCCCACCAUUUCUCUUGAUGCUGACCAAAUCAACCCUAAAAAAUCUAAACCUCGAACCCUUGGGACAUGGGGAAUCCACCUACGGCGUUGUACGUAUCAUCGAUGCACCAUCGGGCGCUCUGCCAUUAACGCAGAGAGCUUAAGCUCUCUCAAACUCUAUCUCAGAAGAAGCACCGAAGAUCCAACGGGACCCAAUUGAUAUUUCGGCACAGAAGCUCGAUUGUUGCAUUCCCAGCAAUUUGUCUCCUUGGAGCGGCUGAUACCAAACAAUUUGGAUGAGCAAUUUUUUGUUUCGAUUCAUGGUGGAGCAAGAAUGAAGAUGUGGAGAAGGACGGAACGAAAUGAUGAGAAAAUUUGGUUGACCAGUAUUCGGUAUCAAUUCGGAGUGGAGCUAGAAGGAAACGGUGCAGAGAAAUGAAACAGUUAAUGAAGCAGUGCUGCAGAGAAAUCUCCCUAGCACGCCACGUGUGCAAAACAAUUUUUAUACACACCCAUGCCCAUAGGUCAAUUGGCGAUUUCACCGUAUAGAGGCAUAAAAGUAGGAACACAGAAACAUUAAAAAUGAGGGCAAAAAAGUAAAAAUACUGUUGCCUAUGAACAAUGUUUUUCUCAUUCCGCUUUAGUAUAGAGCAUUUCCUAUUUUUUGGGGUUUCUGAUAAGAGUAAUGUUUGAGAGAUGGCAUAUUUAUAUCAUAUUGAUGUAUUGUAUGAUAUGACAAGUGAUACAUAUAAUUAACAGUCUAACAUCUAAUGAGAUAAACUCAUUACAAGACAUGGUAUGUACACAGCCAUAUCACAAUAUGGUACAACAAUGUAAUAUA